rnacentral:rRNA from 1 species
CCUACGGGUGGCAGCAGUGGGGAAUUUUGGACAAUGGGGGGAACCCUGAUCCAGCCAUGCCGCGUGUGUGAAGAAGGCCCUCGGGUUGUAAAGCACUUUCAGUGAGGAAGAACGCCUGGUGGUUAAUACCCAUCAGGAAAGACAUCACUCACAGAAGAAGCACCGGCUAACUCCGUGCCAGCAGCCGCGGUAAUACGGAGGGUGCGAGCGUUAAUCGGAAUUACUGGGCGUAAAGCGCGCGUAGGUGGCUUGAUAAGCCGGUUGUGAAAGCCCCGGGCUCAACCUGGGAACGGCAUCCGGAACUGUCAAGCUAGAGUGCAGGAGAGGAAGGUAGAAUUCCCGGUGUAGCGGUGAAAUGCGUAGAGAUCGGGAGGAAUACCAGUGGCGAAGGCGGCCUUCUGGACUGACACUGACACUGAGGUGCGAAAGCGUGGGUAGCAAACAGGAUUAGAUACCCGAGUAGUC